AAUGAACGCUGGCGGCGCGCCUAAUACAUGCAAGUCGAGCGAGAAGACGUAGCAAUACGUUUGUAAAGCGGCGAACGGGUGAGGAAUACAUGGGUAACCUACCCUAGAGUGGGGAAUAACUAGCCGAGAGGUUAGCUAAUACCGCGUACGCUCCUUGGACUUCGGUUCAGGGAGGAAAGCGAUGCCGAGGGUAUCGCGCUCUUGGAUGGGCUCAUGUCCUAUCAGCUUGUUGGUGAGGUAACGGCUCACCAAGGCUUCGACGGGUAGCUGGUCUGAGAGGACGAUCAGCCACACUGGCACUGCGACACGGGCCAGACUCCUACGGGAGGCAGCAGUAAGGAAUAUUGCGCAAUGGGCGAAAGCCUGACGCAGCGACGCCGCGUGGGGGA
rnacentral:rRNA from 1 species